AUAGGUACAGCCGCUCACAUGAUAGGCACGUGAUGUUUUUUUAAAAACAAUAGGAACCGGCUGUUUUGGGUAACAGGUUAAAAGAAGGAAAACAAAACCACGCGCUCGUUCUUCAACUUGCUCUGAACUGUCGCUCAUCCUACUCCUCUGUAUUGUGGAGCUGGAUAGUCUCGACGGCGCAAACCGGUGGCAGAGGACGGGUCGGACUCGCUUGAAUCGUCUCAGAGCUGCAUCGGCCUUUCGGACCUGCGAUCGUUGUGUCGUCGUGUGAAGAUGCGUUAGAGUUGUUGGGUGGUGCUGCGUUCACGGCAGCAGCGGCGGCGGCGCUGAUAUUGUUGGGAAACGUCAUCGUCGUGGAGGCUUCGACUUCGCCUUCGGCGUUCGUACAAAACGUCAUCUACUCAACAAGAUUGCCAUCUUCUCCAAUUCCUAUUGCCCGUAUGUUAUUAUCUCUCUAUUGCUUGUUCAUUUUGGCUUUUGUGAUAAAUUUAAGGUAUUGGGAUUGGAAAUUCAUUAAGCAAUCAAAUGGAAUUUGAGAAUUGUGAGUUGGUCAAUUUGAUAAUUAUGAGAAAUAUUUAGAGUGUUCAUGUUGAGGAAAAUAUGAAUCCAUCAUCUCAAAUGGGACCUUUUUACUAAUUUAUAGAUUACUUUUCAUUUUCAUGGAUUUAUUGCAUUGUUUUCUAAUUCUGGGAAAUAAAUUGCUGCGUUUCAUCUACUAAAUCUUCAGCUUUCUGUUAUUGAAAUAGUUCGCAAGUUGAGUAGAAAUGUUUAGAAAAAGAACUCUGUGCAUGCUUGUGUGUGAAUUUAAGUAAUGUUGAAAUGAGAGAUUGUGUGCUGUUUUGUGGAUUCUUCUUUGAGGGUCUCUUGCUUGGUGAGAAUUGUAGAGACAGAGAAAGGGAAAGUGGGCAGACAGAGCCAAACUCUCACCCAGAAGCAGCUCCUCAUCACUUUCACGUGGUACAACAAAAUUUCAGGCCAAAGCUUGACCAUCAACGUUGGGGACAAAGACAAUACCCCAUCACCAUUCAAAUUCAAUUUCAAUUCACAUGCAUCUGGCUGGGAGAUUUUAGUUCCCACGCAUCUGGCUUCUCUUCGUUGUUGUUUCUUUGUUUUUUCUCUCUUAUUUUUUAAUUUAUUUAGAGCAACAAGUUUGGGUUUUGUAAAUUUUUCUUCCUUCAAAUUUUCCCUUGUCCUUUUUUUAAAAUAAAAAUUAAUAUGAGGUUCUCUAAUCUAUUAAAUUAGAUUUUUUUAAUCGUAGCGUAAGAUUUCAUUUUAUUGUAAAAAAAAUUCAUUCAUCUUAGUCAUCAAAGAAAAUAGAGCAUUGAGAUACCAGUUAGAGAAGAAGAAAGAGAAGAAGAAGAAGAAGAAGAUGAAAAGAGAGGUUGUGGUGAGGUUCAAUCAGGGGUUUGGGUUUAAUGGUGGUGGAGGUGGUGGUGGGAAAGAUGACGGAGCUACUGCUAGAGGCAGCUUGGUUGGAUUUUGGAUGCAAUUGUUUCCAUUUGGGGUACUCUCUUUCAUUUAGCAACUGAUUUGGGGUUCUUCUCACAAAUCUUCGUUCCUUUACAUUUCUGAAAAAAAAAACAGCUCCUUGCAGUGCUUGUAGCAAUUGUUGGUGUGGGUGCUUUUCUGUGGUGGGCAAGGCAGGAUAUGGUUCAAGACAGUGUAAGGCUACUUCUAUUUUUUCUCUUGCUCACUUCUUAAAAGCUCAUAGUUUUCUUCAACUGUGGUAUCAAACAUCUAUUGUUGCCUAGUUAAAACACAACCCAAGUUGUUGAGUGCCUUAAGUUCCAUGCUCUCAAUUUAAUUUCCAUGUUGGCACCUACAAGUGACUGGUAAAACCUUUUUAAUUAUUUAUGUCAGGUUCAAUUAUUUUUUAAAAAUAUAUUAGGUCUUACAUGAUGUUUUGGCAUUUGUGGACGGUUAAUUUAUCAAUCUACAGAUCUUCUAGUGGAUAGUGUACCGUGUACCGAAACGCUCUAUGAUUUUCUUUUAUUUGGAGUUGACAAUUAAGUAAUGUUGGUGUGCUCUUGAUUUCAAAAAACUGUAUCACAGGUGGUAUAUAAACAGGUAAUCUGGAUUGGUGUUGGAUAGUUUCCAUGGAUAGGCAUGUAGAAAUCUAUUGUGUUAUAAUGAGUUCAUGCUUUCCCAUGUGAGAUGUAUCAGAUAAAUGCAUGAUAUGUAUAGGAUGUUUGGAAAGGGUUUAAGUACGCAAGUGAUACUCUUUCAUGUAACAAUUCACGAACGCUUCAUCCACAUCUUGUAAUCAAGUAAUGUCAGAGUAACAUCAUGAGGGUGAUUUUCAAUUGUGAAGUUUUAUUUAUUUCUUACUCUGAUGUCUUCUGCUUUUAAUGAACCACAACCAUUGUUCCCAUAAAGUGCCAUAUAGUGAGGACUUGAGAAAAUGGUUAUGCGCCAUAUGUUGUUCCCAUAAAGUGCCAUAUAGUAAGGAUGGAUUUCCCAUAAAGGUUUUCUUAUACUGUGUUGCUCGUGAUCUUCUAAUUGCUCGUGAUCUUCUAAGUGCUAGAUAACUUAGUUCAUUUUGAGUAUUUUUAGUUUUAAAUGUAAUUUUUAUUGUGAUUUAAAUAUCAUGUUACAAUGGAUAGAUUUGCAGGUUGUAUGUAAUUAUAUUUAUUUUAA